rnacentral:rRNA from 1 species
AUUGAACGCUGGCGGCAUGCUUUACACAUGCAAGUCGAACGGCAGCGCGGGCUUCGGCCUGGCGGCGAGUGGCGAACGGGUGAGUAAUGCAUCGGAACGUGCCCAGUAGUGGGGGAUAGCCCGGCGAAAGCCGGAUUAAUACCGCAUACGACCUGAGGGUGAAAGCGGGGGACCGAAAGGCCUCGCGCUAUUGGAGCGGCCGAUGUCGGAUUAGCUAGUUGGUGGGGUAAAGGCUUACCAAGGCGACGAUCCGUAGCUGGUCUGAGAGGACGACCAGCCACACUGGGACUGAGACACGGCCCAGACCCCUACGAGAGGCAGCAGUGGGGAAUUUUGGACAAUGGGGGCAACCCUGAUCCAGCCAUGCCGCGUGCGGGAAGAAGGCCUUCGGGUUGUAAACCGCUUUUGUUCGGGAAGAAAUCCUCUGGGCUAAUACCCCGGGGGGAUGACGGUACCGGAAGAAUAAGCACCGGCUAACUACGUG